UACGUAGGGGGCAAGCGUUGUCCGGAAUCAUUGGGCGUAAAGAGCGUGUAGGCGGCUCGAUAAGUCUGCUGUGAAAGUCCAGGGCUCAACCCUGGAAGGCCGGUGGAAACUGUCGGGCUAGAGUCCGGAAGAGGCGAGUGGAAUUCCCGGUGUAGCGGUGAAAUGCGCAGAUAUCAGGAGGAACACCGAUGGCGAAGGCAGAUCUCUGGGCCGUAACUGACGCUGAGGAGCGAAAGCGUGGGGAGCGAACAGG
rnacentral:rRNA from 1 species